UACGUAGGGUGCGAGCGUUGUCCGGAAUUACUGGGCGUAAAGAGCUCGUAGGUGGUUUGUCGCGUUGUUCGUGAAAUCUCACGGCUUAACUGUGAGCGUGCGGGCGAUACGGGCAGACUGGAGUACUGCAGGGGAGACUGGAAUUCCUGGUGUAGCGGUGGAAUGCGCAGAUAUCAGGAGGAACACCGGUGGCGAAGGCGGGUCUCUGGGCAGUAACUGACGCUGAGGAGCUAAAGCGUGGGGAGCGAACAGG
rnacentral:rRNA from 1 species